rnacentral:rRNA from 1 species
UACAGAGGGUGCGAGCGUUAAUCGGAAUUACUGGGCGUAAAGCGCGCGCAGGCGGGUGCGCAAGUCGGAGGUGAAAGCGCGGGGCUCAACCCCGCGACGCCCUUCGAGACUGCGUGUCUAGGGACCGGUAGAGGUGAGUGGAAUUCCCGGUGUAGCGGUGAAAUGUGUAGAGAUCGGGAGGAACACCAGCGGCGAAGGCGGCCUUCUGGACGGUGACUGACACUGAGACGCGAAAGCGUGGGGAGCAAACAGG